GCCGGGGUCGCCUAGCGGCUUGGCAGUGGACUGCAGAUCCUCGCACGGGAGUUCAAAUCUCCCCCCCGGCU
rnacentral:tRNA from 2 species